rnacentral:rRNA from 1 species
GGGUCAGUAGGUUGGUCGUGCCACCGGUACGUACUGGUCUCACUGAUUCCUCCUUCCUGAAGAACCGUAAUGCCAUUAAUUUGGUGUUGCGGGGAAACAGGACUGUUACUUUGAAAAAAUUAGAGUGUUUAAAGCAAGCUAACGCUUGAAUACAUUAGCAUGGAAUAAUGAAAUAGGACGAUAGAUCCUAUUUUGUUGGUUCCUAGGAUUGACGUA